GUGAACGCUGGCGGUAGGCCUAACACAUGCAAGUCGAACGGCAGCACAGUAAGAGCUUGCUCUUACGGGUGGCGAGUGGCGGACGGGUGAGGAAUACAUCGGAAUCUACUUUUUCGUGGGGGAUAACGUAGGGAAACUUACGCUAAUACCGCAUACGACCUACGGGUGAAAGCAGGGGAUCUUCGGACCUUGCGCGAUUGAAUGAGCCGAUGUCGGAUUAGCUAGUUGGCGGGGUAAAGGCCCACCAAGGCGACGAUCCGUAGCUGGUCUGAGAGGAUGAUCAGCCACACUGGAACUGAAACACGGUCCAGACUCCUACGGGAGGCAGCAGUGGGGAAUAUUGGACAAUGGGCGCAAGCCUGAUCCAGCCAUACCGCGUGGGUGAAGAAGGCCUUCGGGUUGUAAAGCCCUUCUGUUGGGAAAGAAAAGCAGCAGGUUAAUACCCCGCUGUUCUGACGGUACCCAAAGAAUAAGCACCGGCUAACUUCGUG
rnacentral:rRNA from 1 species